AUUUUGUGGGGUACAGUCCGGAAGAAAUGGCUCCUCAGUUUACAACACACCCAAGAAUUCAGGGUCAUUGUGACAAGGGACACAAAACUUGUGGCUUCCUGUGAACAAACACACACCCUAUAUGU